GACGAACGCUGGCGGCGUGCCUAAUACAUGCAAGUAGAACGCUGAAGAGAGGAGCUUCCUCUUCUUGGAUGAGUUGCGAACGGGUGAGUAACGCGUAGGUAACCUGCCUUGUAGCGGAGGAUAACUAUUGGAAACGAUAGCUAAUACCGCAUAACAAUGGAUGACACAUGUCAUUUAUUUGAAAGGGGCAAUUGCUCCACUACAAGAUGGAUCUGCGUUGUAUUAGCUAGUAGGUGAGGUAAUGGCUCACCUAGGCGACGAUACAUAGCCGACCUGAGAGGGUGAUCGGCCACACUGGGACGGAGACACGGCCCAGACUACUACGGGAGGCAGCAGUAGGGAAUCUUCGGCAAUGGGGGCAACCCUGACCGAGCAACGCCGCGUGAGUGAAGAAGGUUUUCGGAUCGUAAAGCUCUGUUGUAAGUCAAGAACGGGUGUGAGAGUGGAAAGUUCACACUGUGACGGUAGCUUAACAGAAAGGGACGGCUAACUACGUG
rnacentral:rRNA from 1 species